GGCCUCGUGGCCCAAUGGCAAGGCGUCUGACUACGAUUCAACAAUGAAUGUGAUUAUCAGGAGAUUCUGGGUUCGACCCCCAGCGAGGUCA